rnacentral:rRNA from 1 species
GUUUUGUUCCGAAGCAAAGAUAUCCGCGGAGGCCGGUUCGUUCGUCCUAUUCUGAUAUUCAAGACGAAGAGGUACUGGAUUCUCUUUCGGAUAGGCCCUGAAAGGAGAAGAAAGGCUGAAAUGCCAACGGACCUCUGUCUAUUCUCUAAUUCACCCGAUCCGAUAGUACCCGUUUUUGGAACGUCCAGUGCCAAAGUCACUGAAUGGGUAAGUCACCAAUCCAAUCCCUUUGACAAAUCGGAUGUCAUAUUAGAUAUCACAUUCUAUAUAUAUAGAAAUAUCAUAGAUAGAAUAGACAUAUAG